rnacentral:lncRNA from 1 species
UUGAAUUCAAAGUCGCCUGAAGAAAAUCAAAUUGUCUGUUCCAUUAAUAAUGUCAGUAUUACAGAUUUAUGUGGUAGAUAGCACACUAGAGACUAUGAAAGGAUUUGGAGGUUUAUAGAUAUUUGGCCAAUAAUAGAAUCUUUGUUAAUGUAUUUGUGACAAAAGAAAACUCUAGUGUAAUGGAAGACAUAGAACACAAGUUUUUAUCUUUGCUAGAACACAAGUGUAAUGGAUAUUAUGGAACAGAGUUUGCGACCUUUGUUUUCUAGUUCGACUUCUUCCUCAUCAUCCAUCAAAACUAUCCAAAUAUUUUUAUGCAGCAAUUGAUACCAGACCAAAGGCUCAUGAUACCAAUUGAGAUGGGAAAAUGGAUUCUAGGGACAAAGCGAUAAAAUCCGAGUCUCACUAGUAGGUAUUUUAUUGGUUUAGAAUAGAAUCCGAUACAGAGGAGAAAUUGGGAGAUGAAUAUUGUAGAGUGAUAGUUUUUGAGUGAAGAUUUUUGUUGAAAUGUUGAUUGAUUGCAAAUGAAAUAUAAUGAGGCACAAAGCCAAGUUUAAAUACAAUCUCAAGACUAAAGGAGUAAAAUGACAUAAAGUAAAUCUAAUACCUUAAAUAGGCUAAUUCGCCUCCACCUAUUUAAUCACUGUUACAUUCUUGAUUCUUCCACUGCUUCGACAUUGACGACAAACCGAUCAAAACCACAACGAUACUUGGCCACCACCUUUGCAGCAUAUUAUUUGCACGAUUGAAACAAUGAAGAACAGGAAGAUCCAAAAUCAGUUGAUGGAUUGGUUUGAUUUGAAUGGCUCACAAUUUGAUUUAGUUUGGAGCUCAUUGCUUCAGAUUAUAGGCCUUUAAAGCAAUUUAACCUCAACCAUAGUAUUUUUUUGCAAUUACUGAUGGAAAUUAAUCAUGAUAGUGGUUAAUAUCAGUGUCACAGGUUGAAAAUAACACAUGUGAGAACCAUGGAUUCAAAUUGGGGCCAAGUUCAUGAUAUAAGCAAAUUGGGAAUUAUGGUCCACAAUUACAGUUUUGGUAUAAAAUGAUUUUUUUGCAAUAUUCUGAGUUCCUGUCAAAGAAGUGAGUUCUCAAAUAACAAAAACUCUUGUAACCUUCUGUGACAAGUCAAACUGGAGGUGCACUGGUAUACACCAUCUAAAUUGGUGGAUCUUAGUCUCCA